rnacentral:rRNA from 1 species
GCGUGAGUGAAGAAGGCCUUAGGGUUGUAAAGCUCUUUCGGCGGGGACGAUGAUGACGGUACCCGCAGAAGAAGCCCCGGCUAACUCCGUGCCAGCAGCCGCGGUAAUACGGAGGGGGCUAGCGUUGUUCGGAAUUACUGGGCGUAAAGGGCGCGCAGGCGGCGGUUCAAGUCGGGCGUGAAAGGCCUGGGCUCAACCCGGGAAUGGCGCUCGAGACUGGACUGCUCGAGUCCGGGAGAGGAUGGUGGAAUUCCCAGUGUAGAGGUGAAAUUCGU